GUGAGGAAUAUUGGUCAAUGGGCGGGAGCCUGAACCAGCCAAGUCGUGUGAAGGAAGAAGGAUCUAUGGUUCGUAAACUUCUUUUGCAGGGGAAUAAAGUGCAGGACGUGUCCUGUUUUGUAUGUACCCUGAGAAUAAGGAUCGGCUAACUCCGUGCCAGCAGCCGCGGUAAUACGGAGGAUCCGAGCGUUAUCCGGAUUUAUUGGGUUUAAAGGGUGCGUAGGUGGUUUGAUAAGUCAGCGGUGAAAGUUUGCAGCUUAACUGUAAAAAUGCCGUUGAAACUGUCGGACUUGAGUGUAAAUGAGGUAGGCGGAAUGCGUGGUGUAGCGGUGAAAUGCAUAGAUAUCACGCAGAACUCCGAUUGCGAAGGCAGCUUACUAAGCUACAACUGACACUGAAGCACGAAAGCGUGGGGAUCAAACAGGAUUAGAUACCCGGGUAGUCC
rnacentral:rRNA from 1 species